rnacentral:snoRNA from 1 species
CAAGCCCUUUUCACUUUACCAUUUGGAUCUCUUGUGUCUACAGUGGUCAUUCAAGAGGGCAACAAAAAAUUUCCCCUUAAAACCCAGGCAAAUCCAACGUAUUUUGCUUGUGUCCUGUCAGCGGAAACAUUG